rnacentral:lncRNA from 1 species
CAGAUGAAAUUGGCUUAAAGUUAGACCCUGUGCGGUAGAAGCCCCCCAUAUUCCUUCCCACAGGCCAGAGACCUUCUUGGUGAGUGUUACAGCUCAUGAAGGCGGCACUUCCAGAGUUAUUCCUUUCUCCUGGUGGGUUCAUGGUCUCACUGGCUUCAAGAGUGAAGCUGCAGACUUUCCCGGUGAGUGUUACAGCUCAUAAAAGUCCAGAGUUGUUCGUUCCUUCUGGUGGGUUCAUGGUCUCACUGGCUUCAGGAGUGAAGCUGCGACCUUCCUGGAGAGUGUUACAGCUUCUAAAAGCAGUGCAGACCCAAAGAGUGACCAGCAACAAGAUUUAUUGCAAAGAGCAAAACAACAACACACUCACAAAGUCCAAACAGCUGUCCCAGGGCGUUCAGGUGGCCUGCUUUUAUUCCCUUAUUUGGCCCCACCCACAUCCUGCUGAUUGGUCCAUUUUACAGAGAGCUGAUUGGCCCAUUUUACAGAGAGCUGAUUGGCCCAUUUUACAGAGUGCUGAUUGGUCCGUUUUUACAGAGUGCUGAUUGGUGCGUUUACAAACCUUUAGCUAGACACAGAGCACUGAUUGGUGCAUUUACAAUCCUUUAGCUAGACAGAAAAGUUCUCCAAGUCCCCACCCCACCCAGAAACCCAGGCGACUUCACCUGUCAAGCUGAGCUGAGCUCUUGAUUUUUCUCCCACUGGAAGGUCAACAUUGUUCGGGAUUCCUCAUCUUGCCGUGGCUCUGAGUUGGCUAAGUAUGACUGCAAAGCAUGGCACUUUCACUUGGCAACUCCCUCCCCUCACUCACUAUAGCAAACCAUUCUUUAGUCCCUGUGCAGAAACUUUGUUUGUUUGUUUGUUUGGGGCUUUACUUUUUGGAAGCCACGGAGGCACACUGUACAAAGGUUUUUGUGGGAAGCAAAUUGCCUUUCCUUUUAUUUAUUUAUUUAUUUUUCCUUUUUGGCAGAUGCCAAGGUCAUCUUUCUGUUUGUACUACAGAUACGCUGUAAUUGAUUUUCUGAGCGAACCUCUGCAUGUUCCUACGACAUUUUGUGAUCUUCCAAGUGAACAACCUGACAGUGCCAACAUUUAUACUGAAGUAAAAGAACUCCUGAAAAUUCUCAUAUAAAUGUCAGCAAUAUUGUGGAAGUUUGACCACUUUCAUGAGUCCAUACAUUGGAAAUCAAAGUAAUAAGGAAAUAUCUUAACUCUAUUAAAAUCAUUUUUUCUCCUUUGUAUUUUUUUUUCAGUCUGCUAACAAACACAGCCUGACUAGUUAUUCUAGCUCAAUUUUGUCGUGUGUGUGUGUGUUUGGGUGCAGACAUGUAUUUGUGUGCUUCUAAACUUAAUUCUUGUUACAUUGGUUUUCCACCGGGCGUGGUGGCUCACGCCUGUAAUCCCAACACUUUGGGAGCUUGAGGUGGGCAGAUAACCUGAGGUCAGCAGUUCAAGACCAGCCUAGGCAAGAAGGCGAAAUCCCAUUUCUACUAAAAAUACAAAAGUUAGUUGGGCGUGGUGGCAUGCGACUAUAAUCCCAACAACUCAGGAGAAUCACUUGAACCCGGGAGGCGGAGGUUGCAGUGAGCCGAGAUCGCACCACUGCACUCCAGCUUGGGUCACAGAGCAAGACUCUGUCUCAAAAAUAAAAACAACCCCUCCCAUCAAAACAUUGUUUUUCGAAAACAGUAGAGACGGAGUUAUACUUCCAAAUAGCUUGCACU